rnacentral:misc_RNA from 1 species
GGCACGAGAUCAGUUUCUGUA